rnacentral:sRNA from 1 species
GGAUGUAAGAUGAUCUGGCUGAAACAUCUGUCACCCCAUUGAUCGCCAAGCUGGCUUCAUUAGUUCUGGCUGGCUAGGCUAGGAUCUCCUUCCUCCCUUACCUUCCUGUGUACAUCUCUUCUUGAGCUGCAUGCUGUCAAACCAUCCUUCUCUAACAGGGUGGACCAUUCUUCAGAGAAGAGUAUACUUAUUAUCAGAAAACAACCCCACUUGAUUCAAGAACUCCUUAUGUAAACCCUUAGUUCUGACAUAUUGGU